rnacentral:rRNA from 1 species
CCUACGGGUGGCAGCAGUGGGGAAUAUUGGGCAAUGGAGGAAACUCUGACCCAGCAAAGCCGCGUGAAUGAUGAAGGUCUUCGGAUUGUUAAGUCCUUUUCUAAGGGAAGAAGAAAGUGACGGUACCUUAGGCAUAAGCCUCGGCUAACUACGGGCCAGCAGCCUCGGUAAUCCGUAGGAGGCAAGCGUUAUCCGGAAUGACUGGGCGUAAAGGGUGCGUAGGUGGUUUGACAAGUUGGUAGCGUAACUCCGGGGCUCAACCUCGGCACUACUACCAAAACUGUCGGACUUGAGUGCAGGAGAGGCAAAUGGAAUUCGUAGUGUAGCGGUGGAAUGCGUAGAUAUUAGGAGGAACACCAGUGGCGAAGGCGAUUUGCUGGACUGUAACUGACACUGAGGCACGAAAGCGUGGGGAGCGAACAGGAUUAGAUACCCGGGUAGUC